GGAAAUGAAACAAAAAAUGUUUAAAAAUUUUAUCCGUUUCCAGGAAUACCUGUUGUGCAGGAAUCUCUUGCAUUUUUCUAGGAUUGUUGAUCAUUUUGCAGAGUUAUAAAAAAAAAAUUGAAAUUCAAUUUUGCCAGUUCUAUUAAUAUUACGGAUCGAAGUAUAUGGUUCCUUCGAAAUAUAUUACACGAUGUCCCAGGAGAGAGAGAGGAUGCUUUUGUUUCGAGAGCUACGUGAGUCGAUAUCAAGGGACAACCUCAAUCAUUGUUAUACUCGUAUAUGCCAUCGGUAACAAGUUUCAUCUGCUAAAACUUGUGCGGAAAAUACAUAUAUAUAGAAUGAAUCGAUCGAUUGUCGAUAUUUCGAAAUAAGCUCCUGUAAUAUCUUCGUUUCGAAACCCAAGAUAAAUACGAAAA